AUUGAACGCUGGCGGCAGGCCUAACACAUGCAAGUCGAACGAGUGGCGGACGGGUGAGUAAUGUCUGGGAAACUGCCUGAUGGAGGGGGAUAACUACUGGAAACGGUAGCUAAUACCGCAUACCAUCGGAUGUGCCCAGAUGGGAUUAGCUAGUAGGUGGGGUAAAGGCUCACCUAGGCGACGAUCCCUAGCUGGUCUGAGAGGAUGACCAGCCACACGGGAACUGAGACACGGUCCAGACUGCCACGGCAGUAAGCAGUAGGGAAUAUUGAACAAUGGGGGCAAGCUUGAUGCAGCCAUGCCGCGUGUAUGAAGAAGGACUGCGGGUUGUAAAGUACUUUCAGCGGGGAGGCGUUACCCGAAGAAGAAGCACCGGCUAACUCCGUGCCAGCAGCCGCGGUAAUUC
rnacentral:rRNA from 1 species